GGAAAGCAGAGGAAGGGAAGGGGUUGGAACCUGGACGGAAUCCUCCUGACUUUCGUGGACCGCGACGCGUAUCGUUUCAUCUGCUUUGUUUAUUUGUGGUUUUAUUAAUAUUUUUUCUUCUCUUAGUAUUUUUUAGGCGAGAUGGUUUGAAGGAACACGUCGUGGUCUGUUGAGCGUCGGAUCGGGGUGAUGGUCGAUUGGGAUGGAAUGAGUUUGGUAGGCUUGAUGCUCUUUUUUGUUGCUUUUCUUUUUAGAUUUAGGCUUGAUGACUCGGCUCGGGUCUGGCAGCUUAGCUG
rnacentral:lncRNA from 1 species